GAUGAACGCUGGCGGCGUGCCUAAUACAUGCAAGUCGAACGGACAGCGAAAGGUUCUUGCUCCUUUCAGGGGCGGGGGGAACGGUAGAGUAACGCGAUGUGAACCUGCCUCAAGGCUGGGGUUAAGAAUUGGAAACAGAUACUAAUACCGAAUAGAACUUGGUGGCGCAGGACACAAAGUUAAAAGGCGCUUCGGCGACACCUAGAGAGGGAACCGCGGUGGAUUAGUUAGUUGGUGGGGUAAAGGCCUACCAAGACAAUGAUGCAUAGCCGAGUUGAGAGGCUGAUCGGCCACAUUGGAACUGAGACACGGCCCAGACUCCUACGGGAGGCUGCAGUAGGGAAUCUUCCACAAUGGGCGAAAGCCUGAUGGAGCAACGCCGCGUGUGUGAUGAAGGCUUUCGGGUCGUAAAGCACUGUUGUAUGGGAAGAACAGCUAGAAUAGGAAAUGAUUUUAGUUUGACGGUACCAUCACAGAAAGGGACGGCUAAAUACGUG
rnacentral:rRNA from 1 species